UGGUGGGUAGUUUGACUGGGGCGGUCUCCUCCUAAAGAGUAACGGAGGAGCACGAAGGUUGGCUAAUCCUGGUCGGACAUCAGGAGGUUAGUGCAAUGGCAUAAGCCAGCUUGACUGCGAGCGUGACGGCGCGAGCAGGUGCGAAAGCAGGUCAUAGUGAUCCGGUGGUUCUGAAUGGAAGGGCCAUCGCUCAACGGAUAAAAGGUACUCCGGGGAUAACAGGCUGAUACCGCCCAAGAGUUCAUAUCGACGGCGGUGUUUGGCACCUCGAUGUCGGCUCAUCACAUCCUGGGGCUGAAGUAGGUCCCAAGGGUAUGGCUGUUCGCCAUUUAAAGUGGUACGCGAGCUGGGUUUAGAACGUCGUGAGACAGUUCGGUCCCUAUCUGCCGUGGGCGCUGGAGAACUGAGGGGGGCUGCUCCUAGUACGAGAGGACCGGAGUGGACGCAUCACUGGUGUUC
rnacentral:rRNA from 2 species